rnacentral:tRNA from 1 species
CCUUACAGCUCAGUUGGUAGAGAAUCUUCCUGAAAUGCAGGAGACCCAGGUUCAAUUCCUGGGUCAGGA